rnacentral:rRNA from 1 species
GCUCCCUUCGGGGAGUGAGUAGAGUGGCGCACGGGUGAGUAACGCGUGGGCAAUCUGCCCCCGAGCUCGGAAUAACCCCUCGAAAGGGGGGCUAAUACCGGAUAACAAUUCAAUCUCCCUGGCGAUUGAAUUCAAAGGUGGCCUCUGAUUUAAGCUACCACUUGGGGAGGAGCCCGCGUCCCAUUAGCUUGUUGGUGGGGUAAUGGCCUACCAAGGCUUCGAUGGGUAGCCGGCCUGAGAGGGUGACCGGCCACACUGGAACUGAGACACGGUCCAGACUCCUACGGGAGGCAGCAGUGGGGAAUUUUGCGCAAUGGGCGAAAGCCUGACGCAGUGACGCCGCGUGGACGAUGAAGGUCUUCGGGUCGUAAAGUCCUGUCAAGUGGGAAGAAGUAUGUGGUAGUUAAUACCUGCCAUGUUUGACGGUACCACUAGAGGAAGCCCCGGCCAACUCCGUGCCAGCAGCCGCGGUAAUACGGGGGGGGCAAGCGUUGUUCGGAAUUAUUGGGCGUAAAGGGCACGUAGGCGGUUUGGUAAGUCUGGUGUGAAAGCCCUC